CCCUGUGGGAAAGAACAGGAGGUGGUUGUGUCUCCAGCAAUCACAGCUGCAGCCUACAGGACCUCAGAAGGUUCAGCUGUUUUCCUGGAUGAACCGUGGGAGACAAUAAUUGAGCUAAUAGUGGUGAUGUGUCCACGCCACAUUGCUCAGGGCUAUCCUUGGAUCAUUGCCAGCCAGGGCCCUGGCAAGGUUUUGCAUGGGCAGUCCUGCAAGUUCAGCUGAACUUCAUCCAAGGGAUGCCAUCAUGGGAUAAAACUGUUCAUAAAUAAAUUGUACUUCAAAACCCCACUGCACUGAGCUUUCUGCAAUGUAAUGAGCCCAAGUGAUCUCUAGAAUGAUCAUCAAGUCUGUUUGGGUAAAUACAAUGACCAGGACACAAUAAGAGGUGUUUUGGGAUUUAGAUCUUGUGUCAUUGGCUCAAGCCAAAUACUUGCUGCUCUUUCCUCCUUGAGACCUAGCUGCUAGACAUGGUGUCUGCUCUUCCUUUCAACAGAACAGACAGAGCAAACAGGAUGAUGUAGAACUCCCUCUCCUCUGUGCUGUGGCCAUUCUUCCCUAGCUUGGGACAGCUGGAAUAAAAAGCUCCUUGUGUUGGUUAAGAGGAGGUGACGUCCACACCAGCGAUCAGCUCUCUACAGCAACAAACCUCCUGAUGGGAAUCUCCCAGCUUAGUAGGAUAUAAAACUCAGUAAUUUACAUGUCCCUUCCCAGAAGGCUUCCUGGCAUUGUUUAUCUCCAAAAAUUACUCUUCAUAAUGCUUAGGCUCUCACUUGCUGCUGGCAAACAUGCUUGGAGGCUAGAUUUAAUAUUCUUGCUUGACAUGCUGCUUAAUUAAAAUUGUUAAGCAUAAUCAAAGCAACAGGAUCGUGUGAGAAGAAUUAUGACAAGCCAAAUCCUUCAACAUGCUCUGCCUGUUCUUUCUUCUUUUCUAUUGUGUUCUUUCCCUCCCAGGAUCUCCCUUUAUGCCCCUGAUGUCCCAGAACAGACGUCUUACCUGGCCACACUCAGGACUGUUGUCAUUGAUAUCCAGUACAAAAAUUUCCACUUCGGUGGUAGCCUGAAAUUUCCCAUCAGAGGCCAUAACUUUGAGGAGAUAUUUCUCUGUAUCUUCUCUGUCCAGAGGCUUCUUGGAGGAAAUUGUCCAUUCGCCCUCAAUUUGAUCAACUGUGAACUGUCCCAGUACGUCUCCUUCUAGAAGGGGGCAGGAAGCAAAUAAAAAAGGCAUUUAGUAAGGCCUGAAAAUCAGAAGGGAUAAGGAAAGGGAAUACAGGUCUGUCCACUGAUGGUUCCUUCCUUAGGAGACGUGAAGGACCUGGAUGCUCCUAGAGGUCUUUUCCAACCCAAAUGAUUCCAUGACUCUGCCUCAAACUGGCGAUGCAAAGAGGGCACUGGUGGCACAUCCACCAGGUGAGGAGCUUUUGGUCAACCUCACUGCACAGCUGGGAAAUACCCUGCACAUUUUAGUUAUUCCCUGUCUGCACAUUACAGUGGGAGAAGGAAACAAGUGAUUGCAGAAAAGUCAGUAAUGUUCUGCAGAUGUGCAUAUUCAUUGCCUCAAAACCACAUUGUCUCACCUUCCCAAAGCCUGUCAGUCUUUUUUGUGCAUGUUCCCAAGGGGAUCCGAGAGCUGUAAACACCCUGCAGACAUGGUUUGGAUCUUACUGUUAUGGUACCGUGUACAGUUGUAGUUCCUCUAACCUGUAGAGGUAUUUAACAUAUAGCUUUGUUUUCUGGGGCUACUUUUUGUUUCUGUAAGAGCCAAAUGAUGAGAGACAGGUAAAUCCAGACUAGGCAGGCUCUCUGGUCCACCAGAUUCAUGCUGCUCCUACUGUUGUUACACAUGCUGGAUUUUAAAUGGGCUGGAUGCUGCCACAGGAGAAUCCCUCUCUCCUGGGAAGGAGCUGGUGCUCUCUGCUGACCCAGGAGGAAGCACAACAGGCAAUGGGGGUCAGUGAAGAGAGCUGGCUGUGGAAUCUGUUUGUGAUGGACUCUGAAGGGUCUCGCACAGUGGGAUAAAUUAAAUUCACUCCCUUUCUACUUUCAUUUGUGCCGCAGUGAUGAGGUUGUGGAGGCACAAUGACAGCUGUACUAGCUUUUCUUCUGAUGCUGGGAAACACUAGCCCAUGCCCAGAUUUAGUUUCUGUGUGUUUGAAAUCAACAUGGACAGAGGGAAGCUGGGUUCUGUGUUCAGAACAGAACACAGAACCUCUCUUUUGCUGCAUUUCCAUGUUUAUUUGUAAAGUUUGAUCUGUGUUUGUAUGUGCAGAGCAGAGAGCACAAGGUGUUCACCCCUACAAUAAGUGUGCAUCCUCUCAGGUUUAAAGUACUUGGAAGUUACUACUACCUUUAAGAUGGCAGAAAUGUGAAUAUAUAAUGGAUUAAAUCUUUCCUCUCAAAGGCUUGCGAAUACCUAGGCAUGCCAUAAACCAAAUGAAAGUACCAGCAUUCCUACCCUGAUUCAGAUGGUUACAAUAAUAGAUAACAGGCUGCAGCAUGAUCUGGCCUAAUCUUUUGACCCUGAAGGGUCCUCGUUUGAGCCUGAACAAACAUUUUAAUUGGAAGGAUCUGCCCCAGAUCUUAGAAAGACCCUUUAGGGUCAAAAAAUACCAUAAAAGCAAGCUUCUACUUGUGCAAAUGCAGAACAAACAUUUCAGCGUAACUUUUUAGUUAUUUUACAGCAGUGGUUAAUUUUAGUUGGCACAUGUGAUGUUUCAGGGAUGCAAGAAUAAUUUUUAGUAUUUCUUGUUAGCCAAAACCUUUACUAAGAUUGACUUGAUAGUCUUAAAUAUUCCCCAGUGCAGAGUGACUAUCUGCAGCCUUGUUAUUCAGACAACCUCCAAGUGGUUUUGUAGGAAACACACUUAAUACCAAAAAGUUAUAUAUAGUUAUUAAAAAACAUAAACAGGCUACAGGUAUAUGUGUGAUGUGUAAACUGACUGCAGUGCUGGUAGGAGAAAAAGCUGGGUCAAAGAACUUAAAUACAGAUCACAGUAUCUGUGCGAGAAAAAUCUUCCUUCCGGCUGUACUGCCUCUCCUGUCCUUCCAAUAGGUAUUAUAAUUACACUGUCUUUAUUCCUCUCUUAAGAAAAUGUAAAUAAAUAUUUCUACAGUA